UAGACCUGCAUCCGAUACGGGCUAGCUUGAGUUUGGUAGGGGAGACUGGAAUUCCUGGUGUAGCGGUGGAAUGCGCAGAUAUCAGGAGGAACACCAAUGGCGAAGGCAGGUCUCUGGGCCAAUACUGACACUGAGGAGCGAAAGUGUGGGGAGCGAACAGGAUUAGAUACCCUGGUAGUCCACACAGUAAACGAUGGGCACUAGUUGUGGGAACCUUCCACGGUUUCUGCGACGCAGCUAACGCAUUAAGUGCCCCGCCUGGGGAGUACGAUCGCAAGAUUAAAACUCAAAGGAAUUGACGGGGCCCCGCACAAGCAGCGGAGCAUGCGGCUUAAUUCGACGCAACGCGAAGAACCUUACCAAGGCUUGACAUAUACAGGAAUAUGGCAGAGAUGUCAUAGCCGCAAGGUCUGUAUACAGGUGGUGCAUGGUUGUCGUCAGCUCGUGUCGUGAGAUGUUGGGUUAAGUCCCGCAACGAGCGCAACCCUCGUUCUGUGUUGCCAGCAUUUAGUUGGGGACUCACAGGA
rnacentral:rRNA from 1 species